CCUGAAGUGGGGGAUAACCAUUGGAAACGAUGGCUAAUACCGCAUAACACCUUCGGGUCAAAGAGGGGGACCUUCGGGCCUCUCGCGUCAGGAUAUGCCUAGGUGGGAUUAGCUAGUUGGUGAGGUAAUGGCUCACCAAGGCGACGAUCCCUAGCUGGUCUGAGAGGAUGAUCAGCCACACUGGAACUGAGACACGGUCCAGACUCCUACGGGAGGCAGCAGUGGGGAAUAUUGCACAAUGGGCGCAAGCCUGAUGCAGCCAUGCCGCGUGUGUGAAGAAGGCCUUCGGGUUGUAAAGCACUUUCAGUCGUGAGGAAGGUAGUGUAGUUAAUAGCUGCAUUAUUUGACGUUAGCGACAGAAGAAGCACCGGCUAACUCCGUGCCAGCAGCCGCGGUAAUACGGAGGGUGCGAGCGUUAAUCGGAAUUACUGGGCGUAAAGCGCAUGCAGGUGGUUUGUUAAGUCAGAUGUGAAAGCCCGGGGCUCAACCUCGGAAUAGCAUUUGAAACUGGCAGACUAGAGUACUGUAGAGGGGGGUAGAAUUUCAGGUGUAGCGGUGAAAUGCGUAGAGAUCUGAAGGAAUACCGGUGGCGAAGGCGGCCCCCUGGACAGAUACUGACACUCAGAUGCGAAAGCGUGGGGAGCAAACAGGAUUAGAUACCCUGGUAGUCCACGCCGUAAACGAUGUCUACUUGGAGGUUGUGGCCUUGAGCCGUGGCUUUCGGAGCUAACGCGUUAAGUAGACCGCCUGGGGAGUACGGUCGCAAGAUUAAAACUCAAAUGAAUUGACGGGGGCCCGCACAAGCGGUGGAGCAUGUGGUUUAAUUCGAUGCAACGCGAAGAACCUUACCUACUCUUGACAUCCAGAGAACAUUCCAGAGAUGGAUUGGUGCCUUCGGGAACUCUGAGACAGGUGCUGCAUGGCUGUCGUCAGCUCGUGUUGUGAAAUGUUGGGUUAAGUCCCGCAACGAGCGCAACCCUUAUCCUUGUUUGCCAGCACUUCGGGUGGGAACUCCAGGGAGACUGCCGGUGAUAAACCGGAGGAAGGUGGGGACGA
rnacentral:rRNA from 1 species